rnacentral:rRNA from 1 species
GUGGGAAACGAAGUGGGAAGGCUUAGACAGCUAGGAUGUUGGCUUAGAAGCAGCCAUCAUUUAAAGAAAGCGUAAUAGCUCACUAGUCGAGUCGGCCUGCGCGGAAGAUGUAACGGGGCUAAAACUAUGCACCGAAGCUGCGGCAGUGUGUGAAUAACAUAUUGGGUAGGGGAGCGUUCUGUAAGCCUGCGAAGGUGAACUGUGAGGUUUGCUGGAGGUAUCAGAAGUGCGAAUGCUGACAUAAGUAACGAUAAUGCGGGUGAAAAGCCCGCACGCCGGAAGACCAAGGGUUCCUGUCCAACGUUAAUCGGGGCAGGGUGAGUCGACCCCUAAGGCGAGGCAGAGAUGCGUAGCUGAUGGGAAACGGGUUAAUAUUCCCGUACUGGUGUAUAUUGCGAUGGGGGGACGGAGAAGGCUAGGUUUACCACCUAUUGGAUGGUGGGUUAAGCGUGUAGGGGUGUGAUUAGGCAAAUCCGGUCACUAAAACUCUGAGGCGUGAUGACGAGGCACUAAGGUGCUGAAGUAAUUGAUGCCCUGCUUCCAGGAAAAUCCUCUAAGCUUCAGAUAUACAUUAAUCGUACCCGAAACCGACACAGGUGGUCAGGUAGAGAAUACUCAGGCGCUUGAGAGAACUCGGGUGAAGGAACUAGGCAAAAUGGUGCCGUAACUUCGGGAGAAGGCACGCUGAUGGUAAUUGAAGUCCCAUGCGGAUGGAGGUGAAAUCAGUCGAAGAUACCAGCUGGCUGCAACUGUUUAAUAAAAACACAGCACUGUGCAAACACGAAAGUGGACGUAUACGGUGUGACGCCUGCCCGGUGCUGGAAGGUUAAUUGAUGGGGUUAAGCGUAAGCUGAAGCUCUUGAUCGAAGCCCCAGUAAACGGCGGCCGUAACUAUAACGGUCCUAAGGUAGCGAAAUUCCUUGUCGGGUAAGUUCCGACCUGCACGAAUGGCGUAAUGAUGGCCAGGCUGUCUCCACCCGAGACUCAGUGAAAUUGAA